CCUGCUGCUGCUAUGACGGGAAAUAUUUAACUAAAAUAUCACCAAGAUUGAGCUACCACCUACGAGCUAAGCAUACAGGUGAUAUCAGCAGGCAAUUACACAAAAGCCAUCAGAGUACAAUACUGGAGUAUGAAAAUCACUGCAGACCUGUGGAUGAAUCUAAAUUGAAGAAGUGAACUACAGCACUUGGGCAGUAAGUGCAUUAUCACCUCUAGUGUUCCAUCUCACUUCUGUGAUUUCAGGGAUCGAUAUCCCCGAGGAGGGAACCCAUGAAAUUAUCCCGGAGAUCGGCCUGUAUGCUUCAGAGCUGACGAUGCCAUGGGCGAACACCGGAGGACCACGGCGGCCUUGAAUUUAAUAAUGAAAAGUUUUUACUCUGACCACAAAUAUUAGCACGUUUAAGAAUAUAACGAGCACCUUGAAAGACAGGGCGCCCUCGGAGCGCUUGAGGAAUGUACUGCUUUGUCUAGACAUGUUAAAUUUUUAUGCUUCAAAAUAAAAUUCAUGCCCUGUUGUGGGAAUAAA